rnacentral:tRNA from 1 species
GGUGGAUUGGCUCAGUGGGUAGAGCUUAGGGCUUGUGACUAUGAGGUCCCAGGUUCGAAUCUCGUUGCGAAGA